CAGGACUUUUGUUUUGAACAUGUUACAGUUGAGGUUCCUGUUAACCAGUCUGUUCUGGUGUGUUUGUCAAGUAGUAAGUUAGAUAUAGGAGUUGAGAGUUUAGGGGAAUAAUUUGUGGGUGGAAAUAAAAGUUCCAGAGGCAUCAGUAUUUAGACUGUACUUGAAGCUUUGGGUCUGGAUGAGAUUACCUACAGGAGGGAAUGUACAAAAAUACAAGAGGACUACAUUCUGUAGUGGUUUCAGAAGGGAAGCCAGUAAAGGGUCCCAAGGAGCUAUAGCCAGUGAAGUGGGAGGAAGAUGAGGAACAUCACAGAACACCAUAGAAGCCAAGGGAGAGAAAUACUACAAGAAAGGAACAGGAGACAGAUGCUGCUGAGAAGUGAGGGUGAGCAGGUUGGAUUUGGCCACUUGAGCUCUUGACUGGCCUUUAUCUGUCCCCUGAGGUUCGGAGCACACAGUCUCUGUAACUAACCUCCCGUUCAUUAACUCAGUUGAAAUAUUUUGAGUGAACCACACACUGUUCUAGGCAUUAAAUUACAAAAGCGUGGUUCCUGCUUUCAGAAAAUCAGGAAAACAAGUUAAAUGAAAACAUUACACACUGACUGUAUAAUUAUAAUUGGGACCAGUGUUUCAAGGAAAAGUCCAGGAUGCCAUGAGAGUGUAUAAUGGGGCUCUAGAUUAGUCUGAGGGUCUAGGGAGGUCUUCCUGAGGAGAAGCCAUUCAAAGUGAGGCCUGAGGAAGCAAGCAUUUGGUUAGGUGAGUGUGUCAAGGACAUAGAGUACAGGAGGGUGGGGGGGUGAAUGGCAUGAGGAGAGACAAAGAGGCAGUGGGGUAGGAGAGUGAGCUAAGAUGGUGAAAUUGAUUGUCAUUCUUGGGAAACCACUAAAGGGUUUAAAUAAGAUGUGAUUAUCACAGAUCGGGAUGUGGGGGAUCACAAGGUUGUUGGAGUGGCCCUAGCAGGAGGCACUGGUGGCUUUGACUGGGUGCUGGUGGUAAAGGUGGAAGGAAGAGAAUGAAUUUGAUUUUGGGGACUAGGAUCCACAGGACUUGCUGGUUGAAUGUGAAGAAUGAGGAAUAUAUCAGUGAUGACCCAGGUUUGUGUCAUAAGCCACUGGCUGCAAGGUGAGCCUGUUCUGCUAGAGUGGGGGACACUGAAGAAGUAUGUUUGUGAGGGAAUAGCAAGUGUUCCAUUUUGGGCACCUUGAAUCUAAGAUCUCCAACUUAGCCAGUAGAUAAUUGGAUACAGAGGCAUAGAGCUCCAAAGAGAGAGGUAGGUCUGGGACAGAGAAAGACAUUUCAAAGUUGUUGGCCUAUGUGGUUAGAGUUUUAAACAUUGGGGCCAGUGUGGGUGAGACAAAAAAAAAAAAAAAAAAAA